GUACUCUCACACUCUCUGAUUCUUUGGAUUUGGGGAGUGGUGGACUUGGGUGUUUGCUGCUUUCCUUGUGGCUCACCUCAAAUAGGUCAGUACACCUCUUAGUUGGACAUAGUACGGCGUGAUAAGUGUCUUCGCCGGCACCUUGCAAUAGGGUGUCUGAUUGGGAGCUCUGUGCUUCAAACUGUCUUUGGACAACAUCUAACA
rnacentral:misc_RNA from 1 species